CUGCCAGAAGUAGUUAGCCUAACCGCAAGGAGGGCGAUUACCACGGCAGGGUUCGUGACUGGGUG
rnacentral:rRNA from 1 species